rnacentral:rRNA from 1 species
GGGCCCGCACAAGCGGUGGAGCAUGUGGUUUAAUUCGAUGCAACGCGAAAAACCUUACCUGGGCUUGAACUGUGGUCGCAAACUCAUGAAAGUGAGUCCUCCUUCGGGACGGCCAUAGAGGUGCUGCAUGGCUGUCGUCAGCUCGUGCCGUGAGGUGUUGGGUUAAGUCCCGCAACGAGCGCAACCCUUGCCCUUAGUUGCCAACAGGUUAUGCUGGGAACUCUAAGGGGACUGCCCCAGACAAUGGGGAGGAAGGUGGGGACGACGUCAAGUCAUCAUGGCCCUUACGUCCAGGGCUACACACGUGCUACAAUGGCCGGUACAAUGGGAAGCAAUACCGCGAGGUGGAGCAAAUCCUAAAAACCGGUCUCAGUUCAGAUUGCAGUCUGCAACUCGACUGCAUGAAGUCGGAAUCGCUAGUAAUCGUGGAUCAGCAUGCCACGGUGAAUACGUUCCCGGGCCUU